AAACUAAAGCAUGAUUGUUUCAAU
rnacentral:snRNA from 1 species